GCUAAACGCGAAGAACCUUACCAGCCCUUGACAUGUCGGUCGCGGAUUACAGAGAUGUUUUCCUUCAGUUAGGCUGGACCGAACACAGGUGCUGCAUGGCUGUCGUCAGCUCGUGUCGUGAGAUGUUGGGUUAAGUCCCGCAACGAGCGCAACCCUCGCCCUUAGUUGCCAGCAUUCAGUUGGGCACUCUAAGGGGACUGCCGGUGAUAAGCCGAGAGGAAGGUGGGGAUGACGUCAAGUCCUCAUGGCCCUUACGGGCUGGGCUACACACGUGCUACAAUGGUGGUGACAGUGGGCAGCGAGACAGCGAUGUCGAGCUAAUCUCCAAAAGCCAUCUCAGUUCGGAUUGUCCUCUGCAACUCGAGGGCAUGAAGUUGGAAUCGCUAGUAAUCGCGGAUCAGCACGCCGCGGUGAAUACGUUCCCGGGUCUUGUACACACC
rnacentral:rRNA from 1 species